GACAGAGGGUGCAAACGUUGUUCGGAAUUACUGGGCGUAAAGCGAGUGUAGGCGGUGUGGUAAGUCGGAUGUGAAAGCCCCGGGCUCAACCCGGGAAGUGCACUCGAUACUGCCACGCUAGAGUAUCGGAGAGGUUGGUGGAAUUCUCGGUGUAGAGGUGAAAUUCGUAGAUAUCGAGAGGAACACCGGUGGCGAAGGCGGCCAACUGGACGAAUACUGACGCUGAGACUCGAAAGCGUGGGGAGCAAACAGA
rnacentral:rRNA from 1 species